rnacentral:rRNA from 1 species
CGGACCGGCGCACGGUGAGUAACGCGUAUGCAACCUACCUAUCAGGAGGGGAUAACCCGGCGAAAGUCGGACUAAUACCGCAUAAAACAGGGGUUCCACAUGGAAAUAUUUGUUAAAGAUUUAUCGCUGAUAGAUGGGCAUGCGUUCCAUUAGAUAGUUGGUGAGGUAACGGCUCACCAAGUCUACGAUGGAUAGGGGUUCUGAGAGGAAGGUCCCCCACACUGGUACUGAGACACGGACCAG